rnacentral:rRNA from 1 species
AUCUUGCGCAAUGGGCGAAAGCCUGACGCAGCGACGCCGCGUGAGCGAUGAAGGCCUUCGGGUCGUAAAGCUCUGUCGAGGGGGAAGAAUUUAGACGGUACCCCUCAAGAAAGCCCCGGCUAACUACGUGCCAGCAGCCGCGGUAA